AAUAAAUGAUGAAAAACUGUUUCGGUCCCAGCUGAUGUCCUGUGAUAACUUGCAUUUUUCUGAUGUU
ensembl:snoRNA SNORD73 Small nucleolar RNA SNORD73